rnacentral:rRNA from 1 species
AUGGGAGACCUGAAUGCUAUUAUUUAUUCUUUUGAGAAGGAAGGAGGUAGAGCGAGACCGGAGCAUUGCAUGAAAGCUUUCCGGGACACUCUUGAUGAAUGACAACUUAAUGACUAUGGAUACUUAGGUGACAAGUUUAUGUGGCAUCGCGGUAAUAUUCAGGAAAGGCUUGACCGGGCUUUGGCCAAUGAUGCAUGGAACUAUUUAUUUAGUGGUUCAGCACUUGAACUAUUACAAGUCCAAUCACAGGCCGAUCCUCAUGUCGCUGGACGAGGAAUUGGCACAGGAAAGAGAUGGCCAUAA